rnacentral:ncRNA from 1 species
GUCUCAGCACACCAGUGAGAAAGCCCUUUGCACCUCCACCAGAUAAAGGAGCCGGUAUUAGGCACAACCUAAAUUGCCCAUAACACCUAGUUUCACCACACCCCCAAGGGUAGUCAGCAGUGAUUAAACUUGCCUAUAAGCGACAGCUUGAUUCAGUCAAAGAGAAGAGAGCCGGCCAACUUGGUGCCAGCCGCCGCGGCUAAACCAGGGACUCAAAUUGAUAAUCAUCGGCGUCAAGCGUGAUUAGGGACAUUAAAGAUUAGGGUUAAAUUGAUACUCGGCAGUAUAUAAGCUUGUUAUUGAGAAAGCCACAAACCAAAGUUACCCUAACAUUCAACCUGAAUACACGACAGCUAAGAAACAAACUAGGAUUAGAUACCCUACUAUGCUUAGCCGUAAAAAAUUAACUUACAACAACCAACGCCAGGGAAUUACGAGCCACGCUUAAAACCCAAAGGACUUGGCGGUGCCCUAUCCGACUAGAGGAGCCUGUUCUGUAAUCGAUAACCCCCGCUACACCCAACCAUUUCUUGCUAAUCAGUCUGUAUACCUCCGUCGGAAGCCAACCAUGUGAACGCUACAGUAGGCUCAAUGAUGAUACAUCAGUACGUCAGGUCAAGGUGCAGCUUAUGAAAUGGAAGAAAUGGGCUACAAUUUCUAAUAUAGAACAAACGAAGAACCGUGUGAAACCAUGGUAUUGAAGGUGGAUUUAGUAGUAAGAAGAAAAUAGAGUGUUCUUCUUAAUAAGGCCAUAGAGCACGUACAUACCGCCCGUCACCCUCUUCAAUAGCCCUUAUAAAAGUUUAUAACCCUAUAUCUGCGCCUUAGAAGAGGUAAGUCGUAA